CACGUAAGGAGCGAGCGUUGUUCGGAAUUAUUGGGCGUAAAGGGCGUCUAGGCGGUUAGAUAAGUCUUGAUUGAAAGACCGGUGCUCAACACCGGGAACGGUCAGGAAACUGUUUAACUAGAAUCCGGUAGGGAAAUGUGGAAUUCCUAGUGUAGGGGUGAAAUCUGUUGAUAUUAGGAAGAACACCAAUGGCGAAGGCAACAUUUUGGGCCUGGAUUGACGCUGAAGCGCGAAAGCAUAGGGAGCAAACAGG
rnacentral:rRNA from 1 species